UGAAUGCAGAAAUUGGAAAUAGCCCUUAAGUUAACCUUCUACGAAACCGCGAGCGUGUGUGUGAGAGAUAGAGAGUGUGAGGAGUGAGUGAGAGAGCAGACUGUACUUUUAAGUUGGUAAAGUGCAAGUGCAGAACAGGCGGGUUGGAGAUAAUUGGCCAUUUCGCGGCAAAAGUAAAAAGAGCACUCAUUCGAUCGAAACAAGCAGAGAGAAAUGACAACGGGGAAGGUGGUAGUGGAGAGAGUUGGAGGGAGGUCAACGGUCACCCGAUGCUUCUCAACAUAUCCUCUCAAAUUCAUCGUCCCCAGAAAGGUGGGUCCUUCCCAAACAGAUGUAGUUUGGAUUUACACCCUCACCUAUGGUGGAGGGAUUGUUUCUGGAGAUUCUAUAUCAUGUGAUUUCACAAUUGGAGAUGGUUGCACCACAGUUUUGACCACCCAGGCUUCUACAAAGGUAUACAAGUCCAUGGGAUCAAAGUGCUCUGAACAAUUCUUGGAGGCGAGAAUUGGAAGCAAUGCUCUUUUGGUUGUAAUUCCAGAUCCAGUGACAUGUUUUUCUACAGCAAAAUACUCCCAAAAGCAAGUCUUCAGAGUGGUGUCAGACUCAAGCUUGGUCAUUGUUGAUUGGAUUACUAGUGGACGUCAUGAAAGUGGAGAAAAGUGGGAUUUUGAACUUUACAAGAGCACCAACCACAUCUUUUUAGAAGAUGAUAAGCCUUUGUUUCUUGACACGAUAUUUUUAGAACAUGGAAGCAUUACCACUAUUGCUGAACGCAUGCAAGAAUACCAGGUCAUUGCAAUGGUCAUACUUUGGGGGCCAAAGUUGAAGCAUGUUCAAAACCAAGUUCAAGAAGAUGUAAAAAAGAUGAUGUCUGAGCAAUUACACAUUUCUUCCGCCGCCUUGGGACGCCAAAUACAAACAAGUUCUGGUCAUUUCUUGACUAAGCCAACCUUUAUUGCUUCUUGCAGUGUGUUUGGUCCAAAGGGUAUGGGCGUUGUUGUUCGAAUAGCUGCCACGACAACUGAAUCAGUUUACAGGUUCUUGCAGCAUCAAUUGGCUGGUAUGGAGCCAUUGAUUGGGGUGUCUCCAUAUCAUUAAACGUGCAUAAAGAAUGUGUUUCCUGCACAGUGGCUUAAGCCAUGAAAUUAUUGGAAAGCUGCGUAGGGGUUUUAGGGCGUGGAUUGGACAUCGUUGAAGAAGAAAGGUGAAGAAGGGAAGAACAAAUUCAAGUUAUGAUACGUGCAGGGGAUGAUCGAAGAGGCACAACCUCUGAACCCUAUCUGCAUGGUCAGCACAGGAGAAAUCUUCGCAGGUCUUGUUUUCAGACACCGGAAAUGUUUAUCUGCGAAUUGGACUUCUUGUUUCCUCUGUAUUGACUGCUUUCCUCAGUAAGAACGGAAAAAUUGGAAUAAAAUUAAUACAACAGUGUGUGUUUUCACUCUCGCGUUUUCUCACCACAAUGUGUAUAUAUUAUAUUCUGUUGCUUUCUUCAUUGUAGUACAAAAGUAACCAACACAAUCUGAGUUUGGCUAUUAAUUUCAUUCCGGCACGCCCCUAAAAUAACCAGCACAAUCUGAGUUGUAGUGACACAUCUUUCGAAUUCAAGCUGAAUGAGCGUCCGAAUUCAGAAGAUGCUGAAUGGGUGAUGUAAGUAGUGUGUUUGGCCUCGUCUAACCUGCUCUAAUACCAUGUGAACAACUACUUACUUUAAAUCCGAGAUUUUUUUUUCUUGAGAA